rnacentral:rRNA from 1 species
AUGAACGCUAGCGACAGGCUUAACACAUGCAAGUCGAGGGGCAGCACAGGUAGCAAUACCGGGUGGCGACCGGCGCACGGGUGAGUAACGCGUAUGCAACUUGCCUAUCAGAGGGGGAUAACCCGGCGAAAGUCGGACUAAUACCGCAUGAAGCAGGGAUCCCGCAUGGGAAUAUUUGCUAAAGAUUCAUCGCUGAUAGAUAGGCAUGCGUUCCAUUAGGCAGUUGGCGGGGUAACGGCCCACCAAACCGACGAUGGAUAGGGGUUCUGAGAGGAAGGUCCCCCACAUUGGUACUGAGACACGGACCAAACUCCUACGGGAGGCAGCAGUGAGGAAUAUUGGUCAAUGGCCGAGAGGCUGAACCAGCCAAGUCGCGUGAGGGAUGAAGGUUCUAUGGAUCGUAAACCUCUUUUAUAAGGGAAUAAAGUGCGGGACGUGUCCCGUUUUGUAUGUACCUUAUGAAUAAGGAUCGGCUAACUCCGUGCCAGCAGCCGCGGUAAUACGGAGGAUCCGAGCGUUAUCCGGAUUUAUUGGGUUUAAAGGGUGCGUAGGCGGCCUUUUAAGUCAGCGGUGAAAGUCUGUGGCUCAACCAUAGAAUUGCCGUUGAAACUGGGGGGCUUGAGUAUGUUUGAGGCAGGCGGAAUGCGUGGUGUAGCGGUGAAAUGCAUAGAUAUCACGCAGAACCCCGAUUGCGAAGGCAGCCUGCCAAGCCAUUACUGACGCUGAUGCACGAAAGCGUGGGGAUCAAACAGGAUUAGAUACCCUGGUAGUCCACGCAGUAAACGAUGAUCACUAGCUGUUUGCGAUACACUGUAAGCGGCACAGCGAAAGCGUUAAGUGAUCCACCUGGGGAGUACGCCGGCAACGGUGAAACUCAAAGGAAUUGACGGGGGCCCGCACAAGCGGAGGAACAUGUGGUUUAAUUCGAUGAUACGCGAGGAACCUUACCCGGGUUUGAACGCAUUCGGACCGAGGUGGAAACACCUUUUCUAGCAAUAGCCGUUUGCGAGGUGCUGCAUGGUUGUCGUCAGCUCGUGCCGUGAGGUGUCGGCUUAAGUGCCAUAACGAGCGCAACCCUUGCCACUAGUUACUAACAGGUAAAGCUGAGGACUCUGGUGGGACUGCCAGCGUAAGCUGCGAGGAAGGCGGGGAUGACGUCAAAUCAUCAUGCCCCUUAUGACCUGGGCUACACACGUGCUACAAUGGCGUGGACAAAGGGAAGCCACCUGGCGACAGGGAGCGAAUCCCCAAACCACGUCUCAGUUCGGAUCGGAGUCUGCAACCCGACUCCGUGAAGCUGGAUUCGCUAGUAAUCGCGCAUCAGCCAUGGCGCGGUGAAUACGUUCCCGGGCCUUGUACACACCGCCCGUCAAGCCAUGGGAGCCGGGGGUACCUGAAGUCCGUAACCGCGAGGAUCGGCCUAGGGUAAAACUGGUGACUGGGGCU